GCUUCCGUAGCACAGCUGGUAGUGCAACUGAUUCGUAAUCAGUAGGUCGAGUGUUCAAAUCACUUCGGGAGCACCA
rnacentral:tRNA from 1 species